CACGCCGUAAACGAUGAAUACUAGGUGUCGGGUGGCAAAGCCAUUCGGUGCCGCAGCAAACGCAAUAAGUAUUCCACCUGGGGAGUACGUUCGCAAGAAUGAAACUCAAAGGAAUUGACG
rnacentral:rRNA from 1 species